GAUUUUUUCUCAAAAGAUUUUGUUAUUCCUAAAACUAAAAUUUAAAUUUAUAGUUAAAAUAGGUUUGUUAUUAAUAUCCUUAUAAUUAUUUAGAAAUGUUAUACAUUAAAUAAACUAAUGUAAAUAAUAAAAAAAUUAUUUGAAUAUAUGGACCUAGACUUCUAGUAUGACUAUUUUGUAGUAGAUAAAAAUAGUACUUCUCUUUUAAUAGAGAAGAUUAGGAUGAUACAAUAUUGACUACCCAGAGUAACCGAAAGUAUCAUUUGAUUACAAGUUAUUAUCAAGAGCAUCUUUCAAAAGGAAUUUUAUUUUGAAGUUUCUGAAACUCUAUAUUUGAAGUCUAAAGGUAUUUUUUUCCAAAAGCAAAACUUCAAACUCAACUUCAAAACUAUUUGUAUUUUAUAAUUCUUUUUUUGUCGACAACUUUCCAAACUCAUAAGGACUAUGUAAACCACACCGGGAGAUAUUGAUCCAUGUGGACGACGAAAGACGACUGUUUUCUGACACUGCGUGCUGAAUUAUCCGCCUUUGUAUUUUGCGUUUUUGGUACAUGUAUAAUCUCUGAUCAUGUAAAACUCUCUUUCAGGUUCUUGAUAUCUUCCAAAUAACUUGUAAAAGCUGGCAAUUCUUCUGGUUCCGAAACCAUAUGCACCAAUUGAGAACAAUCCGUUGCAAACGUAACCUGAAAUUGUCUUAAAUUCCUCAUACAUUCCAUUGCCCAUAGUGAGGCAUCAAACUCUGCAUGCAAAGGCGAGAGAGAAGCUCUUACAUUCCUUGCUCCCAUCAGACCUUCAAUUCCAGCUAGAGUACUGACCAACCCUGGCCAGAGAACAUAUCCUCCUCUUUCCAUAAUCCAUCUGUGAAGCACCAUCUACCGGGAAUUGACGGAAGAGUCAUAACUUGAGUCUCUGUCUCCCUCUUCUGAUCUCUUAGCACAUGUGCAUCCGCCCAUAGUGUUGAUUCCGUCUCAGCCAAUUUAAGAGUUUUCCUAGAGUAUAUAUCCAGAUUACAAAAUUUUUUGUGAAUUCAAAUUAGUUAUGACAAAUAUAAGGACCAUAUUAUAAAAAUACAAAUACUAUUUGUAUUUUAUAAUAUGGUCCUUAUAUUUGUCAUAACUAAUUUGAAUUCACAAAAAAUUUGUAAAUAACUAGCACUUAUAUAAACAUAUUACAUCAAUAUUAAUCAAUAAAAUAUUAUAUUAAAAUAUAAAAUUUUAAACAAAAUAACUUAAUUAAUAUUAAACAUCAAGCAAAAUACCAUACUAUUCUAUAAAGUGAUUUCGUAAUGCAUAUGUGAUAUACUAGUGCAUUUUGAAGUAAAAAUGGCUCUCCUCAUUUUAACUUGUAGAUUAAAGAUAAAAAUUGCUGAAAUCGGGUGAUAUUAAUACUUGUAAAUACAUUAGUUUAGAACAAAAAAUUAAAAGAGAAACAUAAAAUAUUACUAAAAUACUAACUUUUAUCGUUGAUAUUAAUACUCGUGAAUAUAUUCAAUAUGAACAAGAGAGAAUUGUACGAAAAGACAUCAUCACCAACAACAACCAUUUUCAGUUACACAAAAAGAAAAUUAGACAAUAUUUGAAAAUUUUGAAAGUUCCAGAUCAAACUUACCUGACUAUUAGUGUUGGUGUAAUAUUUAAAUUUGUGUAAUAGUUAUAUCUUCAUGUAAUUUUUUACAAGUUUUAUUUGUUAAGUUUCUUUUGUAUACUUUUUGUUAUCUAAAUCUAGUUUUAAAUAUUUUCAAUCUUAUUUUAAAGUUUUAUUUAAUUUUAUGUGUAAACUUAAAUUUUAUAAACAAAACUUAAAAUAUUUAUGAAUCAUAAAUGUGAUGUGUAAUUGUAGGAACUAAAAUGCAAAUAAAAAUAUGAAAGUUCAAAUUUUAAGUCUUGAAUAGUGAAAAAUAUAGAGUUUUACUUCUCAAAACUUCAAAUUUUCUUUUUAUAAAGUAAAAAACUUUAUAUUUGAAGUUAUAGAGUGUCUUUUGAAAUUGCUCAAUCUAUAUAUGAUGUUUUAACUCAUUUCGACGAGCCUAUAUAACUAUAUUAAGGUUUGAGAAUCUGUAUUGUAUCAAAAUUGAUUACUACCUUUUUCAUUAUAGAUAUUACUCCGCCAUAACUAAGCAUAUAUUUCGUAAAUAUAUAGCCUAUAUAUUCAUUAUGUUAUGUGCUUAUACUAUUACUCGCGAGUUGAUAUACUGUUGAUAAGACUUCGUUCAUAAGUAAUUUUCAAUCAAAGCAGGAGUAGUAUUAUUGGACCUCACGGCCGGCUUGUGCACAAGACUAGAUGGUACACUUUUCUUUUAGCAACGAAUAGUGCACAAGAAAUAAAGAAAAUGGACUAAAAUUAGGGGGAGCCCUGACUGAGCAGAUUCGUUAAAAUGGGCCCCAUGAGAAUCAGUUUUAAAUCGGACGAUGGAAAAACAAUGCUGUUACCGAUACACAAAUGUGAAUUAGACAGUGGUAGAUUGACCUGGUUAUGUAAGUCAAGCACUGCUCUUUAAAGGCGCGUACGUGUCAGGAUAUGCCAAGUAUUGGGAAACACGUGUGUCUCGUGUGAAUCUCGAGAAGAAUAAAUACGCAUCUAUUAAAAAAUCAACUUAGGUUUUAUCUCACCAAAAAAUGUGAUCUUAAAAUUUCUUGAAACUAACUCUACUAUUCCUUUUUUUUGGACUAAACUCUAAUAUCCUUUGUGUGCGAAAGCUUUACAGAAAAAGAAAUUUCUUCUUUAUGAGUAUUUGUUAAAUCUAUAUACUUGCUAAUCAACUUUAGUAUCAAUAAUUCGAAACCCACAGGAAAACCUGCAAACAAGGCUUUGCCAUUGAAAGCAAAACCGGAAUUUGGUAAAACCACCUACGAGUUGUUUUGUUUGGAAGUUUGAAUACAUAAGGAAUAAAUUAGUCAUUAAUAGUUUAUUGCUUAUACAUGUUCAUUUUCCCAAUAUUUUAGCCGUUCAACUGCUACAAUAUUUUAUUCGACUAAUUCAAUCAAAUGACUUAUAUACAUAUCAGUUUUAUAAUGGUGAUAUGGAAGUGUUAUAAUCUCAUCAAUCACCAUUGAUAAGCUAGUGCAGAUUGUUUUUCAUUUUUCUGUUCAUUUUUAAAAAUAUAUCUUGUGCAGAAUAUCGACGAUUAAUCGUACACAGAGGUGUUUUAUAAAUCAAGUAAAUACGAAACCAAACAACGGUCCAAUGAGGUGAUGGCAGGGCACGUAAAUAAGUAGCCUAAGAAAAGUGUAUUUGGACCCUCCAUCCUGUGUGCUAGGAAUGAUGGGCCCACAGUAUUUAUGCAAUUAAGAAAUAAUGACAUAAUCUAUACAAUACUAAAAGGCCAAUAUACUCAUCGUUUAGACCCUCCACGUUGGAUCAGAUAAUCAUCCAAUAGAAACGCUGCUUUCCGCCACGUCACACAUAUAUGGGCUUGCACGAUUUUUUUGUUUUCUGUUGGUUAUGGACUCUUCUUUCUGGGCCGCAGUGCAAACCAAAAGAAAGCCCAUCUCGCCUACCUCUUCUUCCUGAUUCGCCUUUCUAAGGUUCAUCGUCACUUUGACCCAAAAAAAAAAAGUGUUCAUCGUCACUAAUCUUCGCGUCAGAGUUUGUUCAUGUCGUUCCCGUUUCGAUUCUUCACCUCCCAACGGUUACAAGUCUCAUUGAUUCAACAUAAUUAACCAAAACUUAGCUCUUCCUGGCCACUACAACCAAGAUCUCGCUUUCAAAGACUCUUAUCUAGCUUCAAGGCGGUGACUCUCACCUAUAAAAACGAGGCUGGAAGUUGUUCUUCUUACACGGUGGAGGUUCGGCUGCUCAGAUUCUGGAAAGCAAGAAUGUGAUCAUGUUUGAUUUUUUCGUGGUUGAAUCUAAACGUGAUCGUGUUUGACUUAGUAAUUCACUAUGAGACUUACCAGAAAUCUCUUGCGGAGCACCAAAACCCAGAUACGUUGAAGAGGCUGAAUGCGGCUGAUAGAUCCAAGAAGAUUUGCUGCAUCAAUAGUAUUUUGAUCCCACUAUUGGUGAGGCAAAGCGUCAAAAAGGUAAUCUGGUUUUGCAGUUCUAUCUUGGUAAAGCGAGUUAUACUAACAUCAUUUUGUGUUUGUAAUACAGGUAAUAAGUUAUUCAAGGAGCAGGAGUAUCAUGAUGCUGUGAGACAUCACACUGAAGCUAUACAAAGAAAUCCAAAAGAACCAACAGUAAGUCCAAUUCUAAUCAUCUUAUAUGUACUUAACUGUUGUGUAUAAAGGCUUCACUGUUACGUCUUCAUUUCGGUUUAGAGCGAACCAGUGAGCUAAGAUUUUUUUUUUUUCUUUUCUUCCAGACUAGGCCUAGGGGAAUGCAAGACCAGGGAAUCAAGAACAUUCUCACAGAUCUGUAAUGAGACAGGUAAUGAGACAAACUUUGAUCUCUAGAUGUCUUCUCCAUUUACAAAUCAAUGUUUGGUUAUUUGUUGCAGCAAUCCGUCUUGAUGUUAAUGAUAUCUCACCAAAAUCCAAACUCUUUUAACAGAUUCUGUAUGAUUUCAGGAGAAUUCACCAGCAGCACAACAUGCACACCCGAUGAUCAUGAUCAAAUCCAAAAGCAUAUAAAGCUAAACCCAGAUUUUUUACUUUUUGUAGCUCUCAAACCAAAAUCAAGUUCCACCCAUUGUUUCAGGAUAAUCUGAUGUAACAUUUUCUUAUAUCAAAUGUGUCUUUAUAAGACAGAGACUUGAAUUGCUUACAUAACUGCAAAGCCCAAAACAAACUCACAAAAAUUCUUCAGUACGUAGGGUUAGUUCUGAACAAGAAAAACAAAAUGUUAAGCAGCAACUUCUUCAUCCUUGGAUGAAAGUUCAGAGGAUGAUGCAAGCUCUUGGUGUUUUGUUGAAUGUUCAGUUUAGGACUUACGCGGGAUGAAGAUGAGGCUCAGGAGGAUGAGAUACCUACACGAGUAAUAUAAUUCAACAAUUAUUGAAAGAACAAGAACAAGAGAAAACUAAAAACAUGAAAAAAAAACAUCAAUACCCAAGCCGGAUAGUUCUUUUUUUCACAAAGAAGCCGGAUAGUUCUUGACGCCUGACAUCUCAAUAUCACUCAAAAGGAUGACCAAAUUGAUUGAGAAAAUAAAAAAAGUAAUAACAAACAAACAAAAAUUGAUUACAAAAGAAAGUAUAUCUCUAAUGUAGUCUUAUACACAACAAAAACAUAUACACAAUAAAAACAUACAAAUAAAUACAACACGUAUCUAAUUAUUCGAUGCUAUUAAUCUCCAACCACCAUCACUACCAUCAAAUAGUCAUAUAAUCAUUAACCAUUAUUGCUAUACAUAAAUUACUAGCUUAAUAUACGUCUAACAGUAUAUAUAUAUAUAUAUAAGUUAUUAGUUUUAAGUAUAGUCAGAUAUUAAUAAAUAAAAAUAAAUUUUUUAGAUGUUAAUAUAUAAUAAAUAAAUUAUAUUUAAUGAGGUCAGUGUUAAAAAUUAUUUUCUAAAAAUUAAUCAGUAUCAUUUUAGAAAAUUAAUCGGUAACGUAUAUAAAUUACAAAAUUAAUAAUAAAAUAAAUAGUGAAACUUUUUUAUAAAUAUUGAAAAUUAAUGUUACAUAUUAUUGCGAUUAAAUUAAACAUUUUUAAAGUUACUUUAAAUUAGUUUAAAGGGUAAUAUAAGUAUAUGUUUUACAAGUAUUGUGAACACAAAAUCUAAGGUUAUUGUAAAUGUGGACUUUUAAAAAAAAAACUAAAAUCAAAAGCUCAACCAUCAAACAAGUAAUAAAAGGAGGAUAUAAACCUUAGAUAGAGUGUCCACGUAGGCAAAAAUAAUCGUCCAAUGAGAAACUAUAUUUUUGCCAUGUCACCUCCUCUAUUUGUUUUUACAAAAUGAUCCUUUAACUUUUUACUUAAACAAUUAUAACCAAAAAUAUUUUUUAGUGAAAUAUAUUAUUUAUAUAAUUAUAUUAUUUAUUUACAUAAUAGUUUGUAAAGAAAUAUUUAGUGUAAAUAAUAUCAUAAUUUUAUAAAAUACUAAAAUAAAUUGGGUUAGUUUUCAAAUUUCACAAAUAAAAAGUAUUAUUUGUAAACUUAGAAAAUAAUAUAUCAAGAAUAUUAUUUUUCAGGAGAGAAAAUAGAAAAAUACAUCGGAGACAAAUUCAUCUCUAUUAUGAAAUUUCUCUAUUUUAGAGAAAAAAUAGAGGAAUACAUUGGAGAUGGUCUAAGGCAUGACCGACGUAAAUGAUCGACGUUGAGAUUUCAGAUUUUCUGAUUCGUACAUUUUAAUGUUUCAAUAUAAUUUGAAUAUUCUCUUUGCUUUAUAAUAUAAUGGUUAAAAAGUAUUUUUUGUUUCACUAUAUAAAUUAUUUUUUAUAUAUCAAUGUAACUUUAUACUUAUUGGAUAUUGUGUGGCUAAUUAAAUUAUGUAAAUUAUUGUGUAAUUGAUUAAAUUUAUAUACUGAUAUUGCUCAAUUACACUAAAAGUCUAAAUUUACAACAUACACAGUUUUAUUUACAUCUUUAAACCUAUUAUCUAAUUAAAAUGAUUCUAAAAAAGUGCCAGCAUGAAGAGUUCAAAAAUAUACGAUAAAAUAUAAUACAUAACGUUAAAAAUGCAUUAUCACUGAUCACUAAAAAAUCAUGUUAAUAGUAAUAGAAA